UACGUAGGCAGCGAGCGUUGUUCGGAGUUACUGGGCGUAAAGCGUGCGCAGGCGGUUUUGUAAGUCAGAUGUGAAAUCCCCGGGCUUAACCUGGGAACUGCGUUUGAAACUACAAGGCUAGAGUGUGACAGAGGGGGGGUGGAAUUCCACGUGUAGCAGUGAAAUGCGUAGAGAUGUGGAGGAACACCGAUGGCGAAGGCAGCCCCCCUGGGUUAACACUGACGCUCAGGCACGAAAGCGUGGGGAGCAAACAGG
rnacentral:rRNA from 1 species